rnacentral:rRNA from 1 species
UACGUAGGCGGCAAGCGUUGUUCGGAGUUACUGGGCGUAAAGAGCGUGUAGGCGGUUUUUCAAGUCGGUCGUUAAAUCUCAGAGCUUAACUCUGGGACCGCGAGCGAUACUGAAUAGCUCGAGGUUUGCAGGGGCAAGCAGAAUUUCUGGAGUAGGGGUGAAAUCCGUUGAUACCAGAAGGAAUACCAAUGGCGAAGGCAGCUUGCUGGGCAAUACCUGACACUGAGACGCGAAAGCGUGGGGAGCAAACGGG